rnacentral:lncRNA from 1 species
GAAUUGCCAAGACAAAUCGAAGGCACGGGAGUAGAAGUAUGGAAGGUAGUCAUAUUCAUCGAUGGACUUCCCUUGCUCGUUGGCAUAUAUCGCCUGCACCAGCAACAACGUAACAUUAACAUUUACUAUCAUGACUCAUGAGACCAGUGAAGAAUAACAUGUUAUAAUCAGGAUGACAGUAUAACGCUUUCAUGUUAACUCUCGACAGCAUCAGGGAGCCGUCGCUUACCUUGACAGCCUGCUCAGCAGAUUUGCGAGAAUGAUCAACAUGUUCAACUCUUCUAACAUCGUUGUACAUUUUCAUCGGGAAAGUGGCAACAUCACCUACAGCGUACACAUCAGGUGCACUUGUUUUGAAGAAAGCAUUUGUCUGCAAAACAGAAGCCUCGGCAUAAGUACUGAAAUUCAGUAAGUUCGAAUGGAACAUGACACAACGCGCUGUAAUUUUGAUAGAAACUAGCAACAGACAGCUUAUAUCUCUGACGAGAACACAGCUUUGGUCGGACAAGAAAACUAUGUUGUUUCCUUAUCGACAAGUUCGAGGAUUUCCGGUUUUAUUAGAACGAUGAGUACUGAACAGCGAGCACACACCUUAAUUCCUCUUAUAUCGGUUUCAACUUGCCCUUCGAAUAGACUGGUGAGUGGUAUUGCUCCGACUCCUACGACUACUAUGUCAGCUUCCAAAACUCUGCCGUCUUUAAGUUUGACCGCCUUCACCUGCAAAAUGGAAACAAGAAUGCGGUGAGGUAAUGCGCUAAAGCUCAACGAGAUUUCUCAAAAUGGUGCAGUCUUUAGAAAAACCUCUCCAUUUGGAUGGGUAUCGAAUCCAACAGCCGUUGUACCCUGAUCAUAUUGACGCCCUUUUUCUUGUAGUAACCUUCAUAGAAUGCAGCUAUGCCCUCGGUGAAAAGCCGAGGUACUGCAAAAAGCAAAAGGACUAUCAUGAAACAGUUCAACGUUGCAUGCUAUGCGUACAGUGUGGGAACUAGAAGAAAUUUACUUACUGCACCAUGGUUCUGGAUAAACCAUAUCGACUUCAAUAUUGUUCAUUCUCAGUACAGCAGUAAGCUCGAGACCGAUUUACCCUCCUCCAACAACUACGGCCUUUGCAUUUUUGUUAGCUUUUAAUGCUUCCACAAUAUUAUCCGCGUCAUUGAUUUCUCUCAAGUAGAAUAUGUUCUUGGAAUCGGCACCUUGUACACCAAAAUCUGACAACUUCAAAACCUGAACAGACACGGAACAAGAAAUGUUCAUGUAAUGACAUAUGACAAAAAGUAAAAAUAUACAACACAACCAAAUUUCCAAGAGACUCACAGUGGAUCCAGUCGCGAUAACAAGUUUUUCAUAUUUAAAAGAUUCCCCGGCUGCACUAACAAGAGUCUUUGAAGCAAGAUCCGCUUUCACUAUAUAGGUACUCAGGAUCAACGAUAUGUCUGCAAGAAGAGAUCAUAUGAUUCAUAAGAGAUGUGUCUUCAACGAGAUAUACCACUAUAUGUAAAGGUAGCUCGUGAGGGGAGGAUUGCCAAGACCAUAUAAGGAGACCAAGGACCCUUUAACCAACCGAUGUGAGACUCCAACCCCUCCCCCCCCACCCUGCAUACCAAGGACUGGACAUCUGGCGCGUGGACAAUAUAAGAUAGGGGACCCAACAACGAAAACGAUGAAUUGGGUGGGGCUGACUCUGAUACCAUGUUAAAGAAUGGAUCUCGAGCCUAACUCAACCUCAAAAGCUAGCUCAUGAGGGGAGGAUUACCCAAGACCAUACAAGGAGACCAAAGACCCUUUAACCCACCGAUGCGAGACUCCAACAAAGUCGACAGAAGUCACGCUUGACCAUAUGUCUGCAUAUUAUUACCUUCCAACACAUUCACGAAAAAUUAUUGCCUGCAAGAAAACACAACAAAAUUAUUACCUUUCUCUGCAUACCACUCGGGAAGCUGUUUCUCUCCUCCACUUCCAACGCACACAUGAAACCCUGGGAGUCUAGCAGCUCCUGGUAGAUAAAUGGAAUAUCAAAAUCGAGUAAAGCACAUUUUCAGAUGUGUAACACAUCUUUUACUCAAGUCCGCCUCCAUACGACCAUACACUAAAGUCGAAAUUAACUAUCCAAGUAGAAAGAAGACUUGCCUUCAGGGAAAAGGUAUGCCUUGCUAAGUGCGGGGCGUUCAUAAGGAGCCACCUGAGGUAGAAAAAAGAUACAUUUUUCGCAAUAUGAUCAAAUCUAACACUAUUUUUCUGAAAGACGGAAAGAUUGUUAGAUACGAAGUUGCAAAUAUUCCAACCCGAGAGGAUUAGUAUCGUGAUUGGAACUCAUUUCGCAAAGAAUACUUACCGCUUCUUUGGAAAUAAUAGCCAGUUCCCCAGGCUUAACUCCCUGCUUUGCGAAUUCUCUAGCGGCAUACCCCUGCGAAUGCAACCAAACUUGUUCAAUUCAUUUAUGACCACAAAAAAAGGCAGUCCGGUGCACUAAAGCUACCGCUAUGCGCGGUGUCCGGGGAAGGGUCCCACCACAAGGGUGUAUCGUAUGCAGCCUUACCUUGCAUUUCUGGCCAGAGGCUGUUUCCAAGGCUUGAACCCGUGACCUCCUAGUCACAUGACAGUAACUUUACUAGUUACGACCACAAAUUCAAAAAUCUGAAUAGCCAUACAUAUUAUAUCUGAAAGAAUCCGAAUCAUAUAUUAUCUCAUAUAAGAAGCUAACUGGUUAAACGCUUCACGAGGAAUGCCAAAUUAGGAAACUUAUAUGCCAAUUCCAUUUCGACAGCAAACAAAAAUAGUGAAAGAGAUGAGCUUACCUACAACGAAACUCUAGCAAACACGCGCGCACACACACACAACUCGUAUGUAUACGAGCAUAUGUGUCUGUUUGUAUCCAACCAAUCAAAGACAUCUACUAUUUCUAAGCAACGACAACAACAACAUACGCAGUGAAAUCCCACAAAGUGUAGUCCGAGGAGGAUAUAGAGGUUGUUUCCGAAAGACUACUAUUGCUAAGCCAAACGACAAGAUAGAGUUAUGACAUGAUCUCUUGUUCUCAGUAUCUACGCAAGGCAACUCGUAGGUUCUACAUUUUCAAAUUGCUUUGUACUCGAAGCUUCCCGCUCCAUUUCGAAGCAACUCAUUUCAACAGCAAACAAAAUAGCGAAAGAGAUAAAGCUUAUCUACAACAAAUUCUAGCCAGCGCGCGCGCACACACACACAACUUAUAUGUAUAUGAGCAUACGUGUCCGUGUCUAAUCACUUCGUGCUCAAAUCCACCAACUCCCUCGCGAAGCAAAUCAACUACUCCAGAGCAGACUAAAGCUUCGAAAGGAGAUAAUUCUCUCUUUCAGACUCCAUAAUCUAUGGUUGUUACGUACUGUUUCAUAAUGUAUCGUAUUGUAUUGUAUUGUAUUGUAUUGUAUUGUAUUGUAUUAUGUUGUAUAAAUUCUAUGUUGCUCGGACUCUUCAAGAAUGUCAUCGGGCGCGUGUAGGAUCCUUCAAAAGUAGAGCAUUUUUGGAGGAUCCGACACGAGUGCGGCAGUAUAUUUGGAGAGUCCGAGCAACUUAGGUUGUAUUGUAUGGUAGUAUAUUGUUAUAAUGAAUACAACAUUUGGAUAGAUUGUAUCAUUUUCAGUCGUUACAUAAUCUCGCACAUCAAUAAUUUGAACGAUAGAUAAAUCUACUCGAAAAGUAGGAUACGAAGUCGAGCUACGAUAAAAAGGUAGGAUGAAUGAUCAAAUAUGAUUAUUAAAUAAGGAAACGACGCGAUACCAUCAAAUCGAUGGUCAGAUAAAAUGAGGCUUUUCGUGGUUACCUAAACAUCGAAUCAAACCAUAUUAUACAAUCUCUUUUAAGUAACGAUCAAAACAAACAUGGUAUUGGUACGAAAAAAUGAACUAUAUGUAUUCGUAUCCCUCAAGGAUUUCACAUUUAUCAUAAGAAAAAAUGCACAUAUACAUCAAAUUGUGUGCAUUUAUGUGUUGUAUACUUACUCUGUCUCAAUUUAUGUGGCACUUUUUGCUUCUCGAGAGCCAAACAAUCUAAGUUUGACCGUGAAUUUGAACAUGAAAUUUUCAAACUUUUUGAAUUGAAAUUUAUAUAUUUGUAAACUACGUAAAGGGUACGUUAUAAGUCACAAUUAUAGACAAUUCAAAAUAUUUAAAAAAUACAUGAAAAAAAAUUGAAAACUACGUAAAAAGUACGUAAUAACUCACAAUUAUUGACAAUUCAAAAUAUGUAAAACAUAAAACUACUUAAUAAGUCACAAUUAUUGAUAAUUCAAAACAUUUAAAACACAUGAAAAAUAUUACGGUCAUGAUAGACUUGGUUGAAUCUCGAAAUCUGAAGGGUGACACAUAAACUGUGACAAAGGAAGUAAAUGUGUGCUAAAUCAUCACAAAAUAAUCAACAAAUUAAGCCUCUUGAUCACCAUAUACAUACAUAUACAUAUAUACAUACAUAUAAAUAUACAUACAUAGACAUACAUAUAUACAUAUUCAUAUACACACACAUACAUACAUACCACACAUACAUACAUACAUACUUACAUAUACAUAUACAUAUAUAUACACAUAUACAUAUACAUAUAUAUACUCACCGCAGCAACACCGCCACCGACGAUAAGGUAUUUGAAAGAUUUAUCUGCCAUUGAUGAAAAAUUGUUGAGUUUUUUGUUAAAGAUGAAAAUUUAAUGUGAAAAUGAAAUGAGAGAAGAAAGAGUAUUUAUAGGUUUGGUUUGUUAACUAGUUACUAAAUUUAUAAGCUAAAAAUUAGGCCCCUAUAUAGUUUAAAAAUGACAAAAUAAGUAAAUAGAUUCAGUUAAAUAAAAAUAGAUUCAGUUAAAAUAACUAAAGUAGAAAAUCAUAUUGCAUGAAAAGAAGAGUUUUAUUUGCAUGAAAUUCAAAUUAACUUUGUUCUUUUCGUUUAUAAUAAACGUUGAAGUGAAAAAUAUCAUACAAUAAUAUAUUUGAGAUAUAAUAUUUAUUUAUAUUAUUUAAAUAGAUGUAUCAUUUUUUAACGUUAAUAUAUUGCUACUUUCUUAAUAUUAUUCUUAAUUCUUAUGUAUAUUCUAUUGAUUGAUGUGAGAGACACGUGCAAAACAGGUACACUAAUCUAGUUAAAAUAAAAAUUGGACCCACUAAUUCGGUAUUGUUGUGGGUUGGGUUUAAUUUUAGGGCAUAUGAAAUAAAUUCUAACAGUUUAGAGCUUAAUUACAUAAAAUUCUGACAUUUUGCAUACUUAUUGAAAUCCCGAUUUUGGGUCUGUCAAGAUAUAUAAUAAACUUCUGAUGUAAUUUUUUUGAUUUUGGGACUAUCAAGAUACAUAAUACAUCCAACGAAGAUACAAUUUUUUUCUUUAUAAAGAUACACAAUUAGCUUUCAAUAUAUUUUUUCUAAUUUUGGGUCCGCCAAGAUACAAAAUUAGCUCCCGAUACAUCCAGCGAAGAUAUACAAUUGGUUGAGAUUUUUAUAAUUAUUUUAUAAGAGUGCGGAAUUAUGUAAAUAUGGUAAGUUAGGGUCUAUGUUUAUGUUAUUUUGGCUUAAUUUUAAUGGAUUCGAUUUUUAGUUUUGAUUUUAAGUAAUAUUGGUUGAUUUAAAUUUGGUGACGUGGACCUCUAAUAAGAGGACACACGACAAAAAUAGUUUUGAAAAACCACCGUUAGAAAAAAUGGCACAAAUGAAUCUUUUAUGUAACAGUAGUGGCAUAGAUGAAUCAAACUCUUAACGAAUGACAUAGAUGAGUCAUUUCUGACAGUUCGAUGACAUUUGAGAUUAUUCACUAGUUUUAAAAUUGAAAGAAUACGUAAAUAAACACUUAAAUUUGGUUUCAACUGUCAAGUGAACACUUAAAUUUUUUAAAUAUGUACAUCUAGACACCUUAAUUUGCUCCAUUAUAAGCUGAUGAUUAUACCCCUUAGUUUUAAAAUGACACACACAUAAACAAACUAUAGAACUUGGUCUUAGCUAUCAAAUAAACACUCGAACUUUGAAUAUAUAUAUCUAGGUACGUCAACACGCCUCAACUGUACCAGUUGAACACACUAAUUUACAAACUGAUCAUUUAGACAACACGUCAGCGUCGGAACCUUAUCUUUGGGCAAGGGUCUAUUGUGUGCAACUUUAUCUUGCAUUGCUACAGACGUUUUCACAACUCAAACCUGUGAGCUCCUAGUCACGUAGCGACGACUUUACCAGUUAUGCCAAGUCUCCACUUCACAAUGUGAAGUUCAAAGUCAAACUAUUUAUAAAUGUAGAAAGGUGUUCUUUUGUAACAGACUAAAAAGUAAACAUUGUCACGCGCUACCCCCAUAAUGUGCCCUGCAAUGCGCGAUCCGGAUUAAUCGGAGCUCCAAUGCGGGCACCGAAAACCGGGUGGGAAACCCCCAAAAACAAAAAGUAAACAGUGUCACAUAGUACUCACUGUCUUUGUGCAUUAACCAAAGUGAUAAACUCUGUGUUUUUCAUUCAAUAAGCGUGACAUAAUAUAAAUACAUGCUCAUAUGUCACACUCCUUAAGGUAUGUAUAUAUAUGCCUUAAAGAGUGAUCUUCUGCAACUUAAUUCAGAUGAAGAAACAUCAUAUUUAACCAAUCAACCAGGCACGAAAAACUGUCAGACGGUUACACAACAUAGUAAAUAUCGCGGAAACAGUGAUGUUUUUAGAUCUUUGAGGCGAAGCCGAUGCCCUCCUCUGCCAACUGAUCCAAGGUAGCAGCUGGUUGAACUUUUGCAACUUUAGCAAUUGCCUUGUUCUCUUCAGGUGUUCCACUCUCGAGGAAUGCACCAACGAUCUUUCCAUCUUUGAUCCAGUAUUGUCCGAACUUGUGAGUUGCAGAGCUGGGAUCAGAGUCCCCAAAGAGCACUGUUUCGCCCACAUUAUCACCAUAGAAUUGCCAAGACAAAUCGAAGGCACGGGAGUAGAAGUAUGGAAGGUAGUCAUAUUCGUCAACGGACUUCCCUUGCUCGCUGGCAAAUAUUGCCUGCACCAGCAACAAUGUAGGAAUUAAUAUUUUUUACUUCAUCGAUAAAUAAUGGGAAGUUUAGGAUUCAAACUGCAUUUCACGAGUUCAUUGAAAGAGUAGAGAGCUGUUCUAACUCAUGCAGCAAUAACAAAUAUACAGAAGCAAGGACAUAAACAACCAGUAGGCACGUAGAAUGGAGAGAGUAUUUCAGUAUUUGAACACCCUAAUCUACGUGUGUACUGUGUUUCAACUAUCCAGUUUAUAUCAUGACUCAUUUAGAGCAGAAUCAUAGGUGAUCAGUGAUGAAUAACGUAUUAUAAGAAGGACGACAAUAUAACUCGG